UCAAAAUUGGAGAAAGAGAAACAAGGUAAAGAACACUUGAAAUAGAGGAAAGUGAAAAGCAAGGCAACAACUCUCAGCUUUCUCCAUCGCAUGCACAAGAUCAAUGCAACCCUUUGGUUUCUUAAUCCUAUAACCCAAUUCUGAACCAACAUCUCUUCAUUAAUCAAGAACAUACAAGAGGAUGAUUGAUAGGCCCAGAGGUCCCGAAUGGCCUAGGACCAAGAUAGUGGAAUCCAAAGUGGAAGCUGGAAAUACAGAAGUGCCAUGGACCCAUAUAAUGCAACAAUAAAAUUAGAUGAUGAUGCAGAUAAUGUAGGGAGUUCAGGGGCAACAACAACCCCUCAUACUCCAUAGAAUGUUGCAUGGACAGACUUUCGUUCAUUUUUCAAAAUGAAACCAUCCAAGUUCCUAGAUUUCCUUGAUUUCGUGGUGGCUCGUGAUUGGUUAGCUUGUAUGGAGAGAGUAUUCCAGGCCAUCAACUUUAGUGAAGAAGAAAAGUGGUCUUUUUUGCCCAGAUGAUGAAAGGAUCGGAUGGUAGAUGGUGGGAUCAUGCAUAUGCUUAUAUGACUUCUCAGAUGAUUCUAUAGGAUUGGUAACACUUCAAGACGACUUUAUUGGAUAAGUAUUAUCCUAACAGUUUGUGGUCGCAGAAAGAGCGAGAAUUCCAACAGUUCAAGUAAGGCAACAUGUUGGUGUCAGAGUAUGCAGAACAAUUUGUGUGCAUGGAUUCCUAUUCCAUACAAGAAGUCUAUACACCAAAUGAGUUGUGGAAGAUAAAUUCGUUUAUGUUUGUACUGAGAGAGGACAUUGCACACAGUUUGUCCUAGGGGGGUUCACCACAUAUGUUGGGUGUUUAAGCAAUGUUAUGUUGCUGAAAACAGCCUAAGGAUAAUCUGAGAUGAAAGGGAAUAAGGUAUGUUAGAAUACAAGGAGAAAGGGAGGUCAAGUUGGUAUUAGAAACCCCGAGAACCUCCAUCUAAGAGGAAGCAAGCUGAUUGUGACAACCCAGCACAACAACCCCAGUGCAGUAAAUGUAAGAGAAGAAAUUCUGAAAAAUGUAGGGAAGGUCAAUGGAGGCGCUUCAAGUGUGAUGACUGAUGAGCUAGCUCAUAUUGCAAAAGAUUGUCCAAAUCAUAGUUCUCAGCGAAACAUUGUGGGUUAGGUUUUCACCUUGGGAGCUAAGAAGGCAAGGGGUGAUACUAAUCUUGUUACUAAUACGUGUUAUGUAAACAAUCAACCUUUAUUUGUACUAGUUGAGAGAGGAUCAACUCAUUCCUUUAUUUCUACCAAGUGUGUAUAACAACUUAGGUUUGAAGCUACUUUCCUUCCUAGCCCAAUAGUUAUUACCUCCACUACGAAUAACAUUGAUGAAGCUCAGUGGGUCUGUAGGGAUUGUUUUAUUUCCUUUAAUGGCCGUGAAUUCUUAAUUGAUCUAA